rnacentral:tRNA from 1 species
GCUCCCGUAGCUCAGCUGGAUAGAGCAACGGCCUUCUAAGCCGUAGGUCAUGGGUUCGAAUCCCGUCGGGAGUACUA